rnacentral:tRNA from 1 species
GGAUUGAUAACUCAGUUGGAAGAGUGUUGGUUUGAAGAACCAGAGGUCGAGAGUUCAAAUCUCUCUCAAUCCA